UACAGAGGGGGCAAGCGUUGUUCGGAAUUACUGGGCGUAAAGGGCGCGUAGGCGGCCUUCUAAGUCGAACGUGAAAUCCCCGGGCUCAACCCGGGAACUGCGUCCGAUACUGGAAGGCUUGAAUCCGGGAGAGGGAUGUGGAAUUCCAGGUGUAGCGGUGAAAUGCGUAGAUAUCUGGAGGAAUACCGGUGGCGAAGGCGGCAUCCUGGACCAUAACUGACGCUGAGGCGCGAAAGCUAGGGGAGCAAACGGG
rnacentral:rRNA from 1 species